AAUAAGUGUAUUUUUACAUUGUUCAUAUCUAACAUUUGACGUUCCGUCUUAUUUAAAUUUUUUUAUUAGUACUUUGUUGUUUUUAUGAUUAAUAUUUUAUUGUUAUUAGAUGAAAACAUGAAUGACUCUUUUUAAAAAAAAUUAUAAAUUUUAAAAAUAAAAUGGACGGUCAAACGCUAGACACGAAUAUCCACGGCCGCACUUAUU
rnacentral:pre_miRNA from 1 species